UCCCUUUCACUCGGCAGAGUUCAGCCAUCAUUCUGUCAUUCCUCGUCAUCCAGAGAAGCAAUUGCACUUCUGUUUUAAUACUGAACAUCCUGUCAUUAUCAAAGAUAACCAUGUCCACUGGGGAAGGUGUAAACCUCCUUAAAUCAAGUGCAUGAGGAUUUAUCUGGAAAGAACAAUAAGCAAAAGAACUUCUCCGUGUACAGAAUGGCUGAUUAACUUUCAGGCAUCUGCGAGAACAAUUCUGCCAAAAAUUAAUCACAGCCUGCAAAACCUGGGCCAUCUUGAUCUGAUGCAAGCUACAGAAUCUUUUCCAAAAAAGUAACUUCAUCCAUUUGGCUCCAGAAAACACUUCGGAAAAGGCACAUUUUGCCAUUAAUCAGCACUGCCAGACAUCUGAACUCACUUUUCAAAUGCUGAUGCUAAUUGCUGCCUACAGAUGGCAGUGAACCUUCAGGAUUAAGAAGAAUGAACUGCCAGGAAUGGAAGAGCUGAAACACCACUUCUAUUCCUAUUUUUAUUUUACUCUGUCUUUUUUCAAAGUGCU